UGAGAGUAUGAUGAUUUAAUUUGUUAAGCCUUGAUUUAUACAAUCAUACCACUAUUUUCUUAUUAUGAAUUUAUAAUUGAUAUUGGAAAUUCUAUAUCCCUACUAUGGGUUGAUGUCUCAAGUACCUUUAAAUGAGAGUUGGAUGGCAAAUUGAGAAAUGUUGAUAUUGAAGUUGCAAUGAGUCUUGGUAUUUUCCGGAUGGUUUUGAUGAGUUAAAUUGUUGAAAAUAUUAUGUAUU
rnacentral:lncRNA from 1 species